UGCCGGUGGACUUUUAGAAUGGCUUUACAAAAUUCAGUAUGCAGGAUCUCAACUGGGUGUUUUUCCCAUUUAUCUAGGUCCUGAUUUCCAAGUGGGCCCCACACUUCACUGCCAUAAAGGGCAAUUGGUUCUAUUACUGAUGAGAACAGUUUUAGCCAGAUUUGGAUUUGGAUUUCGAAGGGAAUUUGUCUUCUUAUGGCAUGAAGAGCCCUGCGUGCCUUGUCUCUUAAUUCAUUCACUGCCAUGUUGAAUGAUCCUUUAUUAUUUAUUCUAAGGCCUAGCCAGGGCCCAGGUCUGGCAGAACUUUUGAAGAUGGUCUAGUUGAGUCUGGAGUCCCUUUUCUGUCGGUGAAAGAAUGACAAGAUCAUCUGCAAAGAGCAGGAAUUUGACUUCACUGUCAUGUAGAGUGAGUCCAGGAGCUGAUGAUUUUUCAAGUAUGAUUGAUGUAUAUAUUAAAUAAAGUUGGACUUUAUGAGCA